rnacentral:rRNA from 1 species
CCUACGGGAGGCAGCAGUAAGGAAUAUUGGGCAAUGGACGCAAGUCUGACCCAGCCAUGCCGCGUGGAGGAUGAAGGUCCUCUGGAUUGUAAACUUCUUUUCUCUGGGGCGAAAAACAGGUUUUCUAACUUGCUUGACAGUACCAGAGGAAUAAGCACCGGCUAACUCCGUGCCAGCAGCCGCGGUAAUACGGAGGGUGCAAGCGUUAUCCGGAUUCACUGGGUUUAAAGGGUGCGUAGGUGGGUUGGUAAGUCAGUGGUGAAAUCUCCGGGCUUAACCUGGAAACUGCCAUUGAUACUAUCAAUCUUGAAUACCUUGGAGGUGAGCGGAAUAUGUCAUGUAGCGGUGAAAUGCUUAGAUAUGACAUAGAACGCCAAUUGCGAAGGCAGCUCACUACACGGUCAUUGACACUGAGGCACGAAAGCGUGGGGAUCAAACAGGAUUAGAUACCCUGGUAGUCCACGCCCUAAACGAUGGAUACUCGACAUCAGCGAUACACUGUUGGUGUCUGAGCGAAAGCAUUAAGUAUCCCACCUGGGAAGUACGACCGCAAGGUUGAAACUCAAAGGAAUUGACGG